rnacentral:rRNA from 1 species
GACGAACCGUGCGAACGUUGUUCGGAUUCACUGGGCUUAAAGGGCGCGUAGGCGGGCGAUCCAGUCGGGGGUGAAAGUUUUCGGCUCAACCGGAAAAGGGCCUUUGAUACGGGUCGUCGUCGAGGGAGGUAGGGGUCUGUGGAACUUCCGGUGGAGCGGUGAAAUGACGUUGAUAUCGGAAGGAACGCCGGUGGCGAAGACGACGCACUAGGACCUCUUCUGACGCUGAGGCGCGAAAGCCAGGGAGCAAA